GGUAUAGGCGAUAGCACGUUGCAUGCACCAGUUUCCAAUGAAUCACUGAAAUUAAGCAACGUUGUACGUGGUUGGUAAUCGGACCAUGUGGGCAUUCGCGUGCUGCUGGCU
rnacentral:rRNA from 1 species